AUUGAACGCUGGCGGCAGGCCUAACACAUGCAAGUCGAACGAGUGGCGGACGGGUGAGUAAUGUCUGGGAAACUGCCUGAUGGAGGGGGAUAACUACUGGAAACGGUAGCUAAUACCGCAUACCAUCAGAUGUGCCCAGAUGGGUUUAGCUUGUUGGUGGGGUAACGGCUCACCAAGGCGACGAUCCCUAGCUGGGCUGGGAGGAGGACCUGCCACCCUGGAGAUGAGACACGGUCCAGACUCCUACGGUGGGGAGCAGGGGGGAAUAUUGCACAAUGUGCGCAAGCCUGAUGCAGCCAUGCCGCGUGUAUGAAGAAGGCCUUCGGGUUGUAAAGUACUUUCAGCGGGGAGGCGUUACGCGCAGAAGAAGCACCGGCUAACUCCGUGCCAGCAGCCGCGGUAAUUC
rnacentral:rRNA from 1 species